AAUUGGUCUUCAUAACUGAGCCUUUAAUAUGAUCAAAAAUGUUCCUCAUUUCCUAAAGAAAAAGCCAGAAAAUUGACCUCCAAAGCUGUUACAAGGAAACCUGAGUGUGAUUUUUUUUUUUUUUUUUCUGCAUCAGCGAAUGAAAGAUUCACCAACUGAGAGGGGAAAGUCUUGCCAGAGUCCUUCAAGGUGAUGACAUCAUCCCGCAGAGGUUUCAUGGUGCAAAUUGUCUUCAUUUUUCUUUCACUCUCAAAAAACCCAGUCAGAACGCUGUUGAUACUAGACCCAGAAUUAGAACUUCCCAUAGCACUGUGCACCAAAGACAAAUACAAGCACAAAAAUAGGAAAGGAAGAAAUUGCUUGUAAUGAAAGAUCAAGUUAUGAAUUAAAGAUAAUGGAAAUGUAAUUACUGCAGAAGCCAGCUGAGAGCAUCCAAAUGCUAAAAUGGAUUAACCAUGAAACACUCAUUAAAUGGCAAAAUAGAAGAAUGGUGAAAAAAUGCUAAGGAUGAAAAGGAGGAAAAAAAUUUUAACUGAAAAAUGUUGAUACAUAAGAGCAUUUCAGCAACUCAGGAGGACCACGGUGCAUCAUGAGAGAUGUAAUCCUGCCAAGAAAUAGGGCUCAUAGAGAAGAAUGAGGAACCGAGAACUACAACUCCCAUGAGACACUGUAGUGAUUCAGCAGAUAUUUAAUGUCAACCUGGAACAAAAGAUUUUUAUUUUGAUUUUUUCUGAUUGAAAAUUCUGCUGAAACUGACCUUUUCCCUUGAAAUUUAGAUUUCAAUGAUGCCCUAUUUCCAAAGCAGCAUUGACUUUAAAUGCGAUUUGUGCUCCUAAAUCAGAGAGGUGGUUUUUAAAAUCAUGCCCUUGUUGCCCUGGCAUGGCAGAACCUUUAAAGCAUCCUAAAAUUCUAAAAGUUUUAGGAUGUGUUUGCACCUGCAAAAUGCAGCGGUAUUUUUGUGACUGCGCAAUUUUUCACAGGAAUAAGCCAAAUCUAAGAAAGAGGGGAGGUCCAGCUUCAAAUGUACUACUAUAUGGUCAUGGAUUUUGUUUUCUGACUUCAACCUCAUUCAGUGCUGACCUUUGGUCAAACAGAACUCAAAAUGUGGCACUCCUGAAAUAUAAACCAAAGGGGGUAAAUAGUCACCUGUGACUCUCAUUGUUCCCCACCCCCUUUUCAGCUCCUGUACAUUCACACUGUUGGCUCAUGUCUAAUUCCCCUUCUCCCUCAUUUCUUCCUCUUUCUUUGUUAGAAAAUCCAGUUACAGCUUGUAUCAUGACUUCUGGCCUGAUUUGGUUCCAGUUGAGGUCUAUUUCUAGUAUUAAUCAUAGAUGUGGUUUAAACUAAAUGUUACAUAACUGUUACAAAGGCCAGAUUCUUUUGGGAAAAGAAAAAUCCCUUCACCAUAGAACAAGAUCUUUAUCCUAACACAGAGUUAUUUGAGCUCAGUGGUAAUUCAGGGCUGUUAGAAGAGCAAGUCGAUGGUUGCUCUUGUUACUUUCAUGGCCUACAAACAGAAGUUAGAUUAAAAACUACUCUUUCAAGAAGCUUGCAACAUGGCAUGACUUUAGUUCUCAAAAUCCAGGACUUUAACACAUGAGAACCCUAAAACAGAGAGAGGCCAAGCAGGCUGCUUGUUAAGGCAGAGGGGCACAACUUACCCCACCUUGCUGCACACUGGCACUUAGCAGACUGAGUCUGAUCACAUGUUCCCCUAUAGAACCCAUUAGCCUGCAAGCAGAACCAGGAAACCCCUUGCAAAUUGAAGCAAUAGAGCUUACAAUUCCUACUCAGUUUUCAAUACACCACAGCUAUCUUGGCUAACGCACAAGGAACUGAACCAGGGCUCUACAGAGCUAAAAGCAUAAGCAGCUACCGCUUAAGCUAAGGCUCUUUUGCUGGGUCUUUAACACUCCUGGCCUGUGUGGAUUGGUGCAGAAGUGGACCCGUAAUACACACUCACGAGUGGGUUAUACAAGGGCCAGCACUCCAUGUUGGACAGUAGAAAUAACCGUGUGCAGUUUUGGGGUUUUUUACUAUAGUGAUUUUUCUCCCACUGGCUUUCUUAAAAGAAAAUAUACCAACUGUCUCUCAGCUUAUUAUUUUCUUUUAUCCAUCUAGUUUCAGGAUCUCUCCAAUGGUUAGGAGAAAAAAAAAUACCAGGGAGCUUCAAACAAAUCACACUGGGCCUUGCAAGGACCAGAGCCAAAAGUCAAUUUUAAUAAUGUGCAUCCUCCUGAGAGGACAAUAACAUUCAU